CAGAGUUUGAUCAUGGCUCAGAACGAACGCUGGCGGCAGGCUUAACACAUGCAAGUCGAACGCCCCGCAAGGGGAGUGGCAGACGGGUGAGUAACGCGUGGGAAUCUACCGUACCCUACGGAAUAACGCAUGGAAACGUGUGCUAAUACCGUAUACGCCCUACGGGGGAAAGAUUUAUCGGGGUAUGAUGAGCCCGCGUUGGAUUAGCUAGUUGGUGGGGUAAAGGCCUACCAAGGCGACGAUCCAUAGCUGGUCUGAGAGGAUGAUCAGCCACAUUGGGACUGAGACACGGCCCAAACUCCUACGGGAGGCAGCAGUGGGGAAUAUUGGACAAUGGGCGCAAGCCUGAUCCAGCCAUGCCGCGUGAGUGAUGAAGGUCUUAGGAUUGUAAAGCUCUUUCACCGGAGAAGAUAAUGACGGAU
rnacentral:rRNA from 1 species